rnacentral:lncRNA from 1 species
CAGCAGAAGAACGUUGGGCCAGAAAAAAGCAUUGAGCUUGAGGGACUAGACUAAUCAAAAAAUGGAAUAACAUGGCAACAAUUACACUGAUGAGUGAGAGGGAAGCUACGGAUGCAUUCAGACACCUAUGGCACCACAGACUCAACGCAUUCAGCAUUUUGUGUUUAGUGUCUUGUGUUUUUGAGAGCAGGAACUGAUAACCUCUCCUCA